rnacentral:misc_RNA from 1 species
CUUUCAUUAAAGUUCUAUGGCAUUAAAUCUUUGCCAUACCUGACAUAUUAAAAUCAAUGUCCUUGUACUUUUAUGUGUACUACGUGUAUACUAAAUUCUAAUAUUAUAUUAUUAUAUUAUUUAUAUUUCGUGGUACGAAAAUAAAUCGGAUGAAAAAAAAUAAAAUUUGCUGAUAAGUAUAAAAAUGUAUCGACUAUACGCUAUAUGUUUACUAAUUACCUGCUAUAAGCGAAAGCAAUUAUAAGAUUUGUUGGUUCCAUGAUAAAUCAAUGGCUCGGAAACCUUAACAAGGAAAAGGACCGGUUCGCGUGACAUCAAGAAGCUGGUAAAGGACCAAGGUCAAACAAGAUCAGUGGGAAAAGAUGCUACAACCGCUGGCACGAUCGACGGAGCCAGCAACGCCAGAGGGUUACGUCUGACAAUUGGUAGUCUGUCCCUACUUGCUCAUCUACGUCGUAUCUUCGUUUUACACUUUAAUAUCAGUUGAUGGAAACGUCCUGUACAUUGAUCAAUUUUUUGGCGUGUCUGUUCGUUUAAAAAUAACGUCAAAUAAUUAAGCUUUAAUUAAUCGGAACAUCCAUAAGUAUUUUUAUUUCUAACAAAACCGAGCAACGUCGUUUAUAUCAAUCUCUUUAUACCCAACAAUAUUAUAAACACAA